rnacentral:rRNA from 1 species
UAGCAUAUCAAAGCGGAGGAAAAGAAAAUCAAUGAUUUCCCUAKUACGGCGAGUGAACAGGAAAAAGCUCAAAGUUGGAACCUGCUUGACAUAGUUAAGCCGGAUUGUAAACUGGAGAAACGUUUUCUAGGCAAGCCGAGUUAAAAAGUCCUUUGGAACAGGGCAUCAUAGAGGGUGAGAAUCCCGUCUUUGACUCGAGUAUUUUGUCUUUUUNAUGAUACGUUUUCUAAGAGUCAGGUUGUUUGGGAAUGCAGCCUAAAUUGGGUGGUAAAUCUCACCUAAAGCUAAAUAUUUGCGAGAGACCGAUAGCGAACAAGUACCGUGAGGGAAAGAUGAAAAGAACUUUGAAAAGAGAGUUAAACAGUAUGUGAAAUUGUUAAAAGGGAACCGUUUGGAGCCAGAUUGGCUUGGUUGUAAUCAUUCUGGGCUUCGGCCUUGAUGCACUUGCGAUCAAUUUGCCUGCCAACGGCAGUUUCUUUCAAUAGGGAGAAAAUCUUUGGGAAUGUAGGUCACCCUUCGGGGAGGCUGUUAUAGCCCAGGGAAUAAUACCUUGAGAGGGACUGAGGAUCGCAGCGAAUGCUUAGCGGCAAUUGUGCGUUUUUGUUUUCGGUUAUGCUGGUAAAAUGACUAUGUUCGGGUAGUGUUAUUGGUAUACCUGGGGGCAAGGCGUAUAAUUUCUAAUUCGCUUAGGUCGUUGGCUUAAUGACUCUAAAUGACCCGUCUUGAAACACGGACCAAGGAGUCCACCAUAAGUGCGAGUGUUUGAGUGACAAACUCAUACGCGAAAGGAAACUGAAUAAAGAUAUGAAGCCGCAAGGUGGCAAUAUCACCCGGCGCUGACGUUUUAUACUGAAUUGACCGCGGUUAAGCACUUAUGAUGGGACCCGAAAGAUGGUGAACUAUGCCUGAAUAGGGUGAAGCCAGAGGAAACUCUGGUGGAGGCUCGUAGCGAUUCUGACGUGCAAAUCGAUCGUCAAAUUUGGGUAUAGGGGCGAGACUAACGAACCAUCUAGUAGCUGG